AGUGAACGCUGGCGGUAGGCCUAACACAUGCAAGUCGAACGGCAGCACAGUAAGAGCUUGCUCUUACGGGUGGCGAGUGGCGGACGGGUGAGGAAUACAUCGGAAUCUACUUUUUCGUGGGGGAUAACGUAGGGAAACUUACGCUAAUACCGCAUACGACCUACGGGUGAAAGCAGGGGAUCUUCGGACCUUUCGCGAUUGAAUGAGCCGAUGUCGGAUUAGCUAGUUGGCGGGGUAAAGGCCCACCAAGGCGACGAUCCGUAGCUGGUCUGAGAGGAUGAUCAGCCACACUGGAACUGAGACACGGUCCAGACUCCUACGGGAGGCAGCAGUGGGGAAUAUUGGACAAUGGGCGAAAGCAUGAUCCAGCAAUACCGCGUGGGUGAAGAAGGCCUUCGGGUUGUAAAGCCCUUUUGUUGGGAAAGAAAAGCAGCAGGUUAAUACCCCGCUGUUCUGACGGUACCAAAAGAAUAAGCACCGGCUAACUUCGUG
rnacentral:rRNA from 1 species